GUCCACGCUGUAAACGAUGCAUACUAGGUGUUGGCCUUUCGGGGCCAGUGCUGCAGUUAACGCAUUAAGUAUGCCACCUGGGGAGUACGUCGGCAACGAUGAAACUCAAAGGAAUUGACGGGGGCCCGCACAAGCGGUGGAGCAUGUGGCUUAAUUCGAUGCAACGCGAGGAACCUUACCUGGGCUAAAUCCACAACGCUACCUCUGGAAACAGAGGGUUUCUUCGGAACGUUAUGGAAGGUG
rnacentral:rRNA from 1 species